rnacentral:lncRNA from 1 species
UUCCCUUGUUCACAGGGACGGUAUGAGGAAAGAUACAUGGGAGGUGCUGAGAUAUGAGUGAAAUGGAGGCUCUGUACGGACACUGGGAUAGAUUGUGAAAUGGCGAGUGGAGCAGGAUGCUGCUCUGCAUCCUAUGAUGAGGGCAAAAUAUGACCUGUGGAGCAGAAGAAGAUGGUUGACUGUGGGGAGGAUCUGAUCUCCAACCUGUGGACUCAUUAUGCAGAGGCUGCAACUCCAAUUGCUUUGAUGUACUUCAGCAGCUCUGAAGGAGUCAUUCCAGCCUACCAAAACAAUGAUUUAAGAAGAAAUCUUACCACAAUAAGCAGGAGUGCAGUACUAGCAUCUCCGUUUUAUUACAGCUGGAGUUCAGUCACUGAAAAAAGAUUUGGACAAAAUAACUGAGAAAAUAUCAAGUUACAAGCCAGGAAGGGGAAACAUCACCACUUUUACAAUGCGAUGACUGAUGUCACUCAAACACUACAAAUCAUUUUUUUCUUUGAACUCUAAAACAGGUACUGCAAGUGUGAGUUCCUGGAAGAGAACCAGGGAUUAUCAAAUUUCUAGUUGUACACAAUACUUGAAGUAUUGCUUCACCAGCUUUUAUU